CGGCCGCUUCCCGCCGCCAUGAGCAUCUCCGCUGCUUCCCCGCGGCAUUCCUCUAACUCGCUCACAGAAGGCCCUGCGACGCGCUGCUGUUCCAUUUCCCUGACUCGCUACGGUUUCGGUGAUCGCUCCGUCUGUGUGCGCUCGCCGUCUUCGUGAAGCUGAUGCCCUGUCACAAGUUCCUGAGUAGUUCCUCCGGAUCCUGCCGCUGUCAUUGAUGCCAACAAGCAUGUAAAAAUUCGAGUGCCAUUGAUCUCAAAUUUUGUAUCUGAAGCGGGAGUCAUGGUCCUUCGCAGCAAGGAUAAAGCUUUUUUGAGAUGAACCUAUUUUCAGCAUUUUAGGCAAAUGUACUGGCUUGAGUUCCUGUUUUCAGCAUUUUACAAGUUAUAAGAAACUCCCCACUCCUAGUGCUAGUAGUUGUGUCUCGCAGGCAAAUGGGCAUUCUACUUGAUUUCUAUAUAAAUAACGUCCUGUUAAUCAGCACAUCUCAUUUCA